rnacentral:rRNA from 1 species
AGUCGAACGGAGCACCCUUGAUUGAGGUUUCGGCCAAAUGAUAGGAACGCUUAGUGGCGGACUGGUGAGUAACGCGUGAGGAACCUGCCUUUCAGAGGGGGACAACAGUUGGAAACGACUGCUAAUACCGCAUGACGCAUUUUGAUCGCAUGGUCGAAAUGCCAAAGAUUUAUCGCUGAAAGAUGGCCUCGCGUCUGAUUAGAUAGUUGGCGGGGUAACGGCCCACCAAGUCGACGAUCAGUAGCCGGACUGAGAGGUUGACCGGCCACAUUGGGACUGAGAUACGGCCCAGACUCCUACGGGAGGCAGCAGUGGGGAAUAUUGGGCAAUGGGCGCAAGCCUGACCCAGCAACGCCGCGUGAAGGAAGAAGGCUUUCGGGUUGUAAACUUCUUUUAAGUGGGAAGAGUAGAAGACGGUACCACUUGAAUAAGCCACGGCUAACUACGUGCCAGCAGCCGCGGUAAUACGUAGGUGGCAAGCGUUGUCCGGAUUUACUGGGUGUAAAGGGCGUGCAGCCGGGCAUGCAAGUCAGAUGUGAAAUCUCAGGGCUUAACCCUGAAACUGCAUUUGAAACUGUAUGUCUUGAGUGCCGGAGAGGUAAUCGGAAUUCCUUGUGUAGCGGUGAAAUGCGUAGAUAUAAGGAAGAACACCAGUGGCGAAGGCGGAUUACUGGACGGUAACUGACGGUGAGGCGCGAAAGCGUGGGGAGCGAACAGGAUUAGAUACCCUGGUAGUCCACGCUGUAAACGAUGGAUACUAGGUGUGCGGGGACUGACCCCCUGCGUGC